CAUCAACGCAGCGACGGAAGGCAACCCUGCCAAAAAUCUCCCCAGAGUUCUAGUGAAUAUAAGGGCCAAUUCCAGAACUCCUGAGGAUGUUAAGAGAUUGGAGAAGCACUUCACAAAGGCCGAACUGAAGAAAGAGGGAAAAUAUCAGGUAGGAAUCUUCUGCGCCGAUCUGCCCGUGCUCUUCCCCUCCCGUCGCCGCGUCCCGCACGAAGCGGGAGUUCUCCAGGGCAGCAGCAGCCGAGCCCUCUCACCCGGACACAGAUUCUGUAGGCGCUCACAGCCCUUUGGUCCCUACUGCUUGUCUGGUUGUGAGUAAAAAUCCAGAGAAAGACAGUUGUCAGCUGAGUGAGCUAUUGACAAUGCAGGUGAGUAGAAAAUUCUUCAACUGAAAUUGCAUCUCUAUUGCCAGCAGAUGAUGAAGUUUC
rnacentral:lncRNA from 1 species